rnacentral:rRNA from 1 species
AGCAGUAGCCGCGGGAAUACGUAGGGUGCGAGCGUUAAUCGGAAUUACUGGGCGUAAAGCGUGCGCAGGUGGUUAUAUAAGACAGAUGUGAAAUCCCCGGGCUCAACCUGGGACCUGCAUUUGUGACUGUAUAGCUAGAGUACGGUAGAGGGGGAUGGAAUUCCGCGUGUAGCAGUGAAAUGCGUAGAUAUGCGGAGGAACACCGAUGGCGAAGGCAAUCCCCUGGACCUGUACUGACGCUCAUGCACGAAAGCGUGGGGAGCAAACAGGAUUAGAUACCCCAGUAGUCCCUGUCUCUUAUAC